rnacentral:rRNA from 1 species
UACGUAGGGACCGAGCGUUGUCCGGAAUCAUUGGGCGUAAAGGGCGCGUAGGCGGCCACGACAAGUCAGUUGUGAAAUCUCUGGGCUUAACUCAGAACGGUCAACUGAUACUGUCGGGCUAGAGUGCAGAAGGGGCAACUGGAAUUCUCGGUGUAGCGGUGAAAUGCGUAGAUAUCGAGAGGAACACCUGCGGCGAAGGCGGGUUGCUGGGCUGACACUGACGCUGAGGCGCGAAAGCUAGGGGAGCGAACGGG